rnacentral:rRNA from 1 species
UACAGAGACUGCAAGCGUUAUUCGGAUUCAUUGGGUUUAAAGGGAGCGUAGGCGGCCUUGUAAGUCAGUGGUGAAAUCUCGCAGCUUAACUGCGAAACUGCCAUUGAUACUGCUUGGCUAGAGUACAGAUGCUGUGGGCGGAAUAUGACAUGUAGUGGUGAAAUACAUAGAGAUGUCAUAGAACACCGAUUGCGAAGGCAGCUCACAAAACUGUAACUGACGCUGAGGCUCGAAAGUGUGGGGAUCAAACAGG